rnacentral:lncRNA from 1 species
UUUAUUCUAAUCUAACAACCUAAACAUAAUUAAUUAAAUCUAAACCAACCUUAAGCAUAAUUAGCCAACUAAUCCAGGAUUAGUGAGAUUACUCACCAAAUCGUGUGCAAAUCGGAUCAAUCCGACGGCGGCGACGCGAGGAACGAUUGUUCCCAAAGCGACUCGCGGAUCCGGGGCCCGGAAACGGCCCAAAAGCGGGCCCGAAGUUGCUGAAACCCACUCCGUGGGUCUUGCUGGUCGCGGCUGAACGGAGCAGCUCCGGCGGCUAGGGCGGCGGGGGAAGGCUGGCGGAGGGCGAGGGGGUCGCGGGGGUGGUCCGGCGGGGUUGGGCGGUGGCCGGAGGUGGCCGGAGAUGGGCUGGUCGGUGCGGAACAGCAGCUGGGUCGGCUGGAUCGCGCGGAGGGAGGAGCGGCAGCGAGCGACGGACGGCGGGACGGCUACGGGCGCUCGGGCGCGGCGCGGCGGUGCGGCGGUGCGGCGAGCGGGACAAGCGGCGAGCGGCUGAGGGGCGAGCUGCAGCUUCUGGUUCGCUCGAGCGUGAAGAAAGAAGGAG